UGGGGGUGGGUGGGGUGUUCCCCCUUUGUGAUGCUACCCCAGAACCCCAUUCCUAUGGCAGCCAGAGACACAGGAUGAUUCUCUCCCUGCUGGCUUUCCCUUCUUGGAUUCUUCCUGAAUAUUUGAAUGCUCACAAGCACUGCUGAUCUACCAAGAUUUUCAGGAGACCGUAAAUCACCCUAAAUAGCCCAAGCCUGUGGGAGUUCCUUGUCUUUGGCCUGGAAUCUGCCAAGGCAGCUCAUGAAAGCUGAUGACCUUCCAGGAGGAUAAAACCACAUCCCUGUCACCCAGCCCAGGAGUCUCGGAGCACAUCCUGCUGAACACAGACAGCUCUGAAGGCUUCAAUACCAACCUCCUGCUUUGCAAUGAGCCAUUCCCAGAUUCCCUGGUGCUGGAUCUUGCAUACCUGCCCUACUACAGAACCUCUCAUGUCUGUAUCAGCCCAUCUUCCCGCUCUGCAUCAUCACACACCCUCACAGACGCAGAAGAAAGCUCCGAUGAAGGCAAGGGUGACACCAAGCAGGAUGAGAAAAGCAUCCCACGAAGUCUGGAGUUGAGUAAGAGGACAAUUUCUUCUCCAACCCACGGAAAGAAACCAUCCCAGCAGCUCCCAUCAGGAGCCAGCACCUCCGAACUCUGCCUGCCCUCCUCCCCCAGCAGGCUCCCACCCCUGAGCCAGCCCCUUCCCCCCAGCGGGUACUUCCCUUACUACAGGACAGAGGGAGAGAUCUGCACUGGCCCAGCUCGUGGAAAUGGGGCCUUCACUGGGACAGAAGGUCUGGAGACCAAGGAGGGACGACAGAGAGGAGGAGCAGGUUUUUGGAAUCUUGGUGCCAGCUGCUCGGUGUGCUGAGAAGAAAGCAGGGGUGUUGUGAACAACAUGAAAAUCUGCAUGAAUAUGAAAUAUGAGUAUUCAUGGAUUGGAUAUGAAAUAAAA